rnacentral:rRNA from 1 species
UACUGCGAAGGGGGGACGGAGAAGGCUAUGUUGGCCGGGCGACGGUUGUCCCGGUUUAAGCGUGUAGGUGUGUGUUCCAGGUAAAUCCGGUUCACUUUAACACUGAGGCGUGACGACGAGGCACUACGGUGCUGAAGCAACAAAUGCCCUGCUUCCAGGAAAAGCCUCUAAGCAUCAGGUAACAUCAAAUCGUACCCCAAACCGACACAGGUGGUCAGGUAGAGAAUACCAAGGCGCUUGAGAGAACUCGGGUGAAGGAACUAGGCAAAAUGGUGCCGUAACUUCGGGAGAAGGCACGCUGACA